UACGGAGGGUGCGAGCGUUGUCCGGAAUCACUGGGCGUAAAGGGCGUGUAGGCGGUUUGUUAAGUCAUGUGUGAAAUCCCUCGGCUCAACCGGGGAACGACGCAUGAAACUGGCAAGCUAGAGUACCAAAGAGGGGGGUGGAAUUCCCGGUGUAGCGGUGAAAUGCGUAGAUAUCAGGAGGAACACCGGUGGUGUAGACGGCUUUCUGGACCGUAACUGACGCUGAGACACGAAAGCGUGGGUAGCAAACAGG
rnacentral:rRNA from 1 species